rnacentral:lncRNA from 1 species
UGAUGGUCAACACAUUCAAGCAUUUGAUUCUACCAAUUUAGGGGAUUUUCAUAAUCCUACUAAGGUAUUGCCUUCUAACUCAAAUACUUCUUCUUCUAUUUUAUUUAUUUCCCUAACUGAAUCACUGAAAAUUACUAUUCCAUCUACGCCUCCUUCUAACAUUAAUCCUAUUAACCAACCUUCCUUAACCCAAAGAUCUUCCAAUUCUGUAAUUAAUU